GACGAACGCUGGCGGCGUGCCUAAUACAUGCAAGUUGAGCGCUGAAGGUUGGUACUUGUACCGACUGGAUGAGCAGCGAACGGGUGAGUAACGCGUGGGGAAUCUGCCUUUGAGCGGGGGACAACAUUUGGAAACGAAUGCUAAUACCGCAUAAAAACUUUAAACACAAGUUUUAAGUUUGAAAGAUGCAAUUGCAUCACUCAAAGAUGAUCCCGCGUUGUAUUAGCUAGUUGGUGAGGUAAAGGCUCACCAAGGCGAUGAUACAUAGCCGACCUGAGAGGGUGAUCGGCCACAUUGGGACUGAGACACGGCCCAAACUCCUACGGGAGGCAGCAGUAGGGAAUCUUCGGCAAUGGACGAAAGUCUGACCGAGCAACGCCGCGUGAGUGAAGAAGGUUUUCGGAUCGUAAAACUCUGUUGGUAGAGAAGAACGGUGGUGAGAGUGGAAAGCUCAUCAAGUGACGGUAACUACCCAGAAAGGGACGGCUAACUACGUG
rnacentral:rRNA from 1 species